GAGUCAAGGUGAACACUCGGAUCAUGAGCCCUUGGUCGAAACACAAGAAUCAACAACAGUUCCAACACAAGAAUCAACAACAGUUCCAAGGAGAUCUGCGAGAAUACAGAAUCAAAAGAGCAAGUAAAAGUCAAAGGAUAGGAGCAUCAAAGAACUUCUUGUGGCAUCUUGGUUUAGUCUCUCUAGGUUGAAACAUGAGCAUCAAAGAACUUCUUGUGGCAUCUUGGUUUAGUCUCUCUAGGUUGAAACAUGAGCAUCAUAACUUCUUGUGACAACUUGGUUUAGUAUCUCAGUACAUUGAAAUGAAUUAGUUUUACUUCUUGUAUGGGUUAGUGGUUAUCAAGGACUGUACUAAUGGAUUAGUUUGACUUCUUGUAUGGGUUAGUGGUUAUCAGGGACUGUACUAAUGGAUCAGUUAUUUGUGUACAUACUCUUUUAAGUACUCUACGCUUCAUUUUUUGAAGCACUUGGUUCA